rnacentral:rRNA from 1 species
AGUGAACGCUGGCGGUAGGCCUAACACAUGCAAGUCGAACGGCAGCACAGUAAGAGCUUGCUCUUACGGGUGGCGAGUGGCGGACGGGUGAGGAAUACAUCGGAAUCUACUUUUUCGUGGGGGAUAACGUAGGGGAACUUACGCUAAUACCGCAUACGACCUACGGGUGAAAGCAGGGGAUCUUCGGACCUUGCGCGAUUGAAUGAGCCGAUGUCGGAUUAGCUAGUUGGCGGGGUAAAGGCCCACCAAGGCGACGAUCCGUAGCUGGUCUGAGAGGAUGAUCAGCCACACUGGAACUGAGACACGGUCCAGACUCCUACGGGAGGCAGCAGUGGGGAAUAUUGGACAAUGGGCGCAAGCCUGAUCCAGCCAUACCGCGUGGGUGAAGAAGGCCUUCGGGUUGUAAAGCCCUUUUGUUGGGAAAGAAAAGCAGCAGGUUAAUACCCCGCCGUCCUGACGGUACCCAAAGAAUAAGCACCGGCUAACUUCGUG